rnacentral:rRNA from 1 species
GUCUGUGUAACUGUCAUAAGGCCAUAGAGGGUGAGAGCCCCGUACACUUAAGAGGUGAAAC